rnacentral:rRNA from 1 species
GACGAACGCUGGCGGCGUGCUUAACACAUGCAAGUCGAACGGUAAGGCCCUUCGGGUACACGAGUGGCGAACGGGUGAGUAACACGUGGUGAUCUGCCCUGCACUUCGGGAUAAGCCUGGGAAACUGGGUCUAAUACCGGAUAGGACCAUGGACUUCACGGUUUGUGGUGGAAAGCUUUUGCGGUGUGGGAUGGGCCCGCGGCCUAUCAGCUUGUUGGUGGGGUAAUGGCCUACCAAGGCGACGACGGGUAGCCGGCCUGAGAGGGUGUCCGGCCACACUGGGACUGAGAUACGGCCCAGACUCCUACGGGAGGCAGCAGUGGGGAAUAUUGCACAAUGGGCGCAAGCCUGAUGCAGCGACGCCGCGUGAGGGAUGACGG